GGCGGCGUGCUUACACAUGCAAGUCGAACGAGAAAUCUUUAGCUUGCUAGAGAAAGUAAAGUGGCGCACGGGUGAGUAACGCGUGGGUAAUCUGCCUCCGAAUCGGGGAUGACAUUGCGAAAGCGAUGCUAAUACCGGAUAAAAUCUGGUUGGCUUCGGUGAACCGGAUCAAAGGUGGUCUCUUUAUAAAAGCUACCGUUUGGAGAUGAGCUCGCGUACCAUUAGCUAGUUGGUGAGGUAAAGGCUCACCAAGGCGACGAUGGUUAGCUGGUCUGAGAGGAUGAUCAGCCACACCGGAACUGGAACACGGUCCGGACUCCUACGGGAGGCAGCAGUGAGGAAUUUUGCGCAAUGGGGGAAACCCUGACGCAGCAACGCCGCGUGAGUGAUGAAGGCUUUCGGGUCGUAAAGCUCUGUCAGGUGGGAAGAACCCACCAAGUGUUAAGACCACUUGGUGCUGACGGUACCACCGAAGGAAGCACCGGCUAACUCCGUGCCAGCAGCCGCGGUAAUACGGGGGGUGCGAGCGUUAUUCGGAAUCAUUGGGCGUAAAGGGCGCGCAGGCGGUUUUGUAAGUCAGAUGUGAAAUCCCGGGGCUUAACCCCGGAAGUGCAUAUGAAACUAUGAGACUUGAGUAUGGGAGAGGGAAGCGGAAUUCCUGGUGUAGCGGUGAAAUGCGUAGAUAUCAGGAGGAACACCGGUGGCGAAGGCGGCUUCCUGGACCAAUACUGACGCUGAGGCGCGAAGGCGUGGGGAGCGAACAGGAUUAGAUACCCUGGUAGUCCACGCAGUAAACGUUGAUCACUAGGUGUAGCGGGUAUUGACCCCUGCUGUGCCGGAGUUAACGCAUUAAGUGAUCCGNCUGGGGAGUACGAUCGCCAGAUUAAAACUCAAGGAAUUGACGGUGGCCCGCACAAGCGGUGGAAGCAUGUUGGUUAAUUCGACGCGACGCGAAGAACCUUAACUUGGACUUGACCUUCUCGGGGAAUUCCG
rnacentral:rRNA from 1 species